rnacentral:lncRNA from 10 species
GUGGGUUUGUGGUUGAUUUUAAUUUUAUGUUUUAAAAAAUAUUUUACAAAUAUUCACGUUACAUAUUUUAAUAAUUAUAAAGAACAAGUAUUUUUAAAAAGUCAUUUCAAGCAGGGCACAGUGGCUCAUGCCUGUAAUCCCAGUAUUUUGGAAGGCUGAGGUGGGCGAAUAGUUUGAGUUCAGGAGUUCAAGACCAGCUCAGGCAAUAUGGUGAAACCCCAUCUCUACUGAAAAUACAAAAAUUAGCUGGUGGUGUGAGGUGCCUGUAAUCCCAGCCACUAGGCAGGCUGAGGCAGGAGAAUCGCUUGAACCCGGGAGGCGGAGGUUGCAGUGAGCCAAGAUACUGCUACUGCACUCCAGCCUGGGUGCCAGAGCGAGGCAAGACUCCAUCUCAAAAAAAAAAUUUAAAAAGGCAUUUCAAAAUAAAAACCAAUCAUAAUCAGUAAUCGCAUCAUAGUGUCAUGAGUCAAAGGAAAAAUUUUUGUAGAGAAUACCUUUUUUAACAAAUCACAAAUUAGACACUGAUUAGUUGAAAGACCCUCCUAAAAUUUCAACUCAAAAAUAGUCUUUCUGAGCAGUUAUUUUUCAAGAACAAAAUCAGGCAUAUUUGCCAUGAGGAAACAAUAAAAGCAAAUAUCCCAAAUGUAUAACAAUAGCUGGAAAAAGAAAAGAGGAGGGUGUUUCCUCCUGAGUUGUCAAGUUCUUGGCAAGGCUGCUUUUAUGACAACACCAAAAAACAAAAACCCCAAAGAUUUUUCUAUGAGUCCAAUUGGAUUUAAAGGAAUGUUUUAUGGUGCUUUAAAGACAAUAUUCUAUUAAAAUUACUCAAUUUAACUUUUCGUAAUAAAUCUGAAAUGCAUCUUUGGUAUUUGGGUAACAAAUAUAUCUUUGAUAUUUGAGAAAAUAGAAUUUACAUAAUUAAUAAAGCCUUACCUUAAUCCCACCAUCUUUUUAAUUUUGACAUAGAUUCUAAAUAUUGGGAAAAUGUAUAUGAAUAUGGAUCUUUUCAGCAGGACACUCUCAGAUUUUUAAUAAACAGAUGUUAAAAGUUAUUCUUGGGUUAUAUUAGGGUUUUCUUGUGGAGAUAAUGAGUAAUUUCAAAUGCUGGCUCUGCAAGACUAUUCUUUCUUCUCUUCUUUGGCAGAGAGAAUAUUCCUUUACUCUUUUGUCUUCUCCUUCAAUCAAUAAAGUGUACUUUUAUUUUCUGCUUCAAUCAAUAAAGUAUAUUUUUAUUUCAGUUCCACAUAGCUGGAGAGGCCUCUUACAAUCAUGGCCGAGGGUGAAGGGGAAGCAAGGAUCUUCUUCACAUGGCAGCAGGAGAAAGUGCGAGCAAGGGAGCCAGGAGCUUAUAAAACCGUCAGAUCCAGGCUGGGCACGGUGGCUCACGCCUGUAAUCCCAACACUUCAGGAGGCCGA